AAACACAUAUCAGAAUACCCGGUGGAAAGGCACUUGAUGUAAACGCUUCUUCAUGCAUUUGGCUGCUAUUAAAAGGCAGUGCUAUGCAGGUAUGAAUGAUGUCACCGCUUUCUCUUCUGAAGGAGGACAUCCCACUAUGAAGUAGAGUUGGGAGGCAGGCCGUGGGAAGCAGUAACGGCCCUCCAGCAAGGGCCACAGUCCAUCUACUUAUGGGGUGAUGUCAGGGCAAACUUAACCUUUGCCAUCAUCUUCCAUGGGUUUCAGUCACUCUGGUAGCUGCUCUCUGCCACCAUACACCGUGCUGGCUUCUGAGGACGGGGUGAUGACUCACAGAUGUGACCUCUGCCCUCAAGGAGGUAACAGACAGGAGAAGGGAAUCCCAUUUCUUGGGGUGACAGACUUGAAGUGAGGAAGUAUGUUCAGCAAAGGCCCAGAGUAGUGAGAGCGAAGGCGACAAGCUAAAAGAACUGAAACAAAGGAAGUGUGGCUGAAACAUCAAAGGAGAGAGGGACAUGGAGAGACAUGAGUUUAGAGGUGGCAGUCUGGGUCUGCCAUGAAAGGCCUCCAAAGCCGUGAGUAAUUGCUCCAUCUUCCUGGGGUGGACCCAAGGCAGCAAGAGAGACGGGGAGCAGUGGUGUGAUGUCAACGUGGUCAUCCUUCACUGGACAUCUUGAUGUAUAGGACGUGAUGCUAAUAAAAAGAUGGUGCUCAUGA